AAAGUAAUGAUGGACUGACCUUCAUGUCUUAAAGUAAUGAUGGACUGUCGUUUCUCUUUGCUUAUUUGAGCUGUUCUUUCCAUAAUAUGGACUUGGUGUUUUACCAAAUAGGUCUAUCUUCUGUAUACCACCCCUACCUUGUCACAACACAACUGAUUGGCUCAAACGCAUUAAGAAGGAUAGAAAUUCCACAAAUAAACUAUUAGCAAGGCAAAUCUGUUAGUUGAAAUGCAUUCCAGGUGACUACCUCAUGAAGUUGGUUGAGAGAAUGUCAAGAGUGGUGCAAAGCUGUCGUCAAGACAAAAAGUGGCCACUUUGAAGAAUCUGAAAUCUCAAAUAUAUUUUGAUUUGUUUGACAAUUUUUCACUUACUACAUGAUUCCAUAUGUGUCAUAGUUUUGAUGUCUUCACUAUUAUUCUGGGUGGGAGGUAGCCUAGUGGUUAGAGGCAGGUAGUCUAGUGGUUAGAGGCAGGUAGUCUAGUGGUUAGAGGCAGGUAGUCUAGUGGUUAGAGGCAGGUAGCCUAGUGGUUAGAGGGAGGUAGCCUAGUGGUUAGAGGCAGGUAGCCUAGUGGUUAGAGGGAGGUAGCCUAGUGGUUAGAGGCAGGUAGCCUAGUGGUUAGAGGCAGGUAGCCUAGUGGUUAGAGGGAGGUAGCCUAGUGGUUAGAGGCAGGUAGCCUAGUGGUUAGAGGCAGGUAGCCUAGUGGUUAGAGGCAGGUAGCCUAGUGGUUAGAGGCAGGUAGCCUAGUGGUUAGAGGCAGGUAGCCUAGUGGUUAGAGGCAGGGAGCCUAGUGGUUAGAGGCAGGUAGCCUAGUGGUUAGAGGCAGGGAGCCUAGUGGUUAGAGGCAGGUAGCCUAGUGGUUAGAGGCAGGUAGCCUAGUGGUUAGAGGCAGGUAGCCUAGUGGUUAGAGGCAGGUAGCCUAGUGGUUAGAGGCAGGUAGCCUAGUGGUUAGAGGCAGGUAGCCUAGUGGUUAGAGGCAGGUAGCCUAGUGGUUAGAGGCAGGUAGCCUAGUGGUUAGAGGCAGGUAGCCUAGUGGUUAGAGGCAGGUAGCCUAGUGGUUAGAGGCAGGUAGCCUAGUGGUUAGAGUGUCGAGGUGGGAGGUAGCCUAGUGGUUAGAGCAUUGGGCCAGUAACCGAAAGGUUGCUCGAUCGAAUCCCCUGAGGUAAGGUAAAAAUCUGUCGUUCUGCCCUUGAACAAGGUCGUUAACCCACUGUUCCUAAGCCGUCAUUGUAAAUAAGAAUUUGUUUUCAGCUGACUUGUCUAGUUAAAUAAAGGUAAAAUAAAUACUGUUCCACAAUAUAGUAAAGAGAAAAACCCUGGAAGGAGUAGAUGUAUCCAACCUUUUGACUGGUACUGUACGUAAAAUAUAAGUGUCCUUUCUGUUUGUCAUCUCACUCCUCAUCAAGUCUCUUCGAUGUGCUCUGUUUUUAAUGCUUAUUAACCUGUCUGUCUGUCUGUCUGUCUGUCUGUCUGUCUGUCUGUCUGUCUGUCUGUCUGUCUGUGUCACUCUCUCUCUCUCUGUCUCUCUCUCUCUCUGUCUCUCUCUCUCGCUGUCUCUCUCUCUCUCUGUCUCUCUCUCUCUGUCUCUCUCUCUCUCCGUCUGUCUCUCUGUCUCUCUCUCUCUCUGUCUCUCUCUGUCUCUCUCUGUCUCUCUCUCUCUCUC